rnacentral:rRNA from 1 species
GAUGAACGCUAGCGACAGGCCUAACACAUGCAAGUCGAGGGGCAGCACAUGAGUAGCAAUACGAUGGUGGCGACCGGCGCACGGGUGAGUAACACGUAUGCAACCUGCCUGUAAGAGGGGAAUAACCCGGAGAAAUUCGGACUAAUACCGCAUAAUACCACGAGACUGCAUGGUUUUGUGGUUAAACAUUUAUGGCUUACAGAUGGGCAUGCGUAUGAUUAGAUAGUUGGUAGGUUAACGGCCUACCAAGUCUACGAUCAUUAGGGGUUCUGAGAGGACGUUCCACCACACUGGUACUGAGACACGGACCAGACUCCUACGGGAGGUAGCAGUGAGUAAUAUUUGUCAAUGCGCGAGUGCCUGAACCAGCCAAGUAGCGUGAAGGAAGAAGGUCCUAUUGAUUGUAAACUUCUUUUGCAGGGGAAUAAAGGACGGUACGUGUACUGUUUUGUAUGUACCUUGCGAAUAAGGAUCGGCUAACUCCGUGCCAGCAGCCGCGGUAAGAC